GUAGCUUCUCGGCCCUUUGGCUAAGAUCAAGUGUAGUACCUGUUCUUAUCACAACAAGUUAUGGCUUAUGGCAGAAUGUCCCAUUUCAUUUUUUUUUUUUUUGCAAAUAUAUUUUUAUUUUCAAGAAUGAACAUAAACAUACAUUUGUCAGAUACACUUUUUGCAAUAUUACAAGAACUCCGC